rnacentral:rRNA from 1 species
UACGAAGGGUGCAAGCGUUAGUCGGAAUUACUGGGCGUAAAGCGCACGUAGGCGGCUUUCUAAGUCAGGGGUGAAAUCCUGGAGCUCAACUCCAGAACUGCCUUUGAUACUGGAGAGCUUGAGUCCGGGAGAGGUGAGUGGAACUCCGAGUGUAGAGGUGAAAUUCGUAGAUAUUCGGAAGAACACCAGUGGCGAAGGCGGCUCACUGGCCCGGUACUGACGCUGAGGUGCGAAAGCGUGGGGAGCAAACAGG